rnacentral:rRNA from 1 species
UACGUAGGGUGCAAGCGUUAAUCGGAAUUACUGGGCGUAAAGCGUGCGCAGGCGGUUUUGUAAGUCUGUCGUGAAAUCCCCCAGGCUCAACCUGGGAACUGCGUCUGAUACUGGGAUGGCUUGAAUCCGGGAGAGGGAUGCAGAAUUCCAGGUGUAGCGGUGAAAUGCGUAGAUAUCUGGAGGAAUACCGGUGGCGAAGGCGCAUCCUGGACCGGCAUUGACGCUGAGGAGCGAAAGCCAGGGGAGCAAGCGGG